AUUGAACGCUGGCGGCAUGCCUUACACAUGCAAGUCGAACGGCAGCACGGGAGCAAUCCUGGUGGCGAGUGGCGAACGGGUGAGUAAUAUAUCGGAACGUGCCCAGUCGUGGGGAUAACGUAGCGAAAGCUACGCUAAUACCGCAUACGAUCUAUGGAUGAAAGCGGGGGAUCGCAAGACCUCGCGCGAUUGGAGCGGCCGAUAUCAGAUUAGGUAGUUGGUGAGGUAAAGGCUCACCAAGCCGACGAUCUGUAGCUGGUCUGAGAGGACGACCAGCCACACUGGGACUGAGACACGGCCCAGACUCCUACGGGAGGCAGCAGUGGGGAAUUUUUGGACAAUGGGCGCAAGCCUGAUCCAGCAAUGCCGCGUGCAGGAUGAAGGCCUCGGUUGUAACUAGCUUUGUUACGGUAACGAAA
rnacentral:rRNA from 1 species